rnacentral:misc_RNA from 1 species
GAUGAAGAACGCAGCGAAAUGCGAUAAGUAAUGUGAAUUGCAGAAUCCAGUGAAUCAUCGAAUCUUUGAACGCACAUUGCGCCCGCCAGCAUUCUGGCGGGCAUGCCUGUUCGAGCGUCAUUUCAACCCUCGACCUCCCUUUGGGGAAGUCGGCGUUGGGGACCGGCAGCACACCGCCGGCCCUGAAAUGGAGUGGCGGCCCGUCCGCGGCGACCUCUGCGUAGUAAGCCAACUCGCACCGGAACCCCGACGUGGCCACGCCGUAAAACACCCAACUUCUGAACGUUGACCUCGAAUCAGGUAGGACUACCCGCUGAACUUAAGCAUAUCAAUAAGCGGAGGA